rnacentral:lncRNA from 1 species
AUUUUUCCUAGAUUUAUUUUUUCUUUCCUAUUUCUCCUUUCCUCUUGUGCAGAACUAAAAUAAUUUUAGCUUCACUCCUCAGGGGUCUACAAAUCAUUUACACUUUUAAAAAUCUCUUCCUGGUUUGCACAUUUGCAGAAUGAAAGCUAAUUCCCAAUUUGUCUGGUUUUUAAUCAUUCAGUUUUCUUUGCCUAUCUACAUAUUGAUUUGACGUGUAACCUUAGACAAGAAAAUAGUUGUUUUACAACUUCCAGGUACGAAUAGGGGAAUAUAGUCUCCCAUGAAAUGCAUCUGCUCCAUUUUGUCCUCAAGCCUUGACAUCUGGAAUCUCACCAUCAACUUUAUGCACCAGUUUGUCAUGAUUUUUUUUGUAGUACUCUCUGACACCAGAGACUUAGCUACUCUUUAUAAGUGUUUUUUUUUACAUUUUAAAAUAAAGUAUGUAACUUUAAUUACAUUGUAUGUGAGUUAUAUCUGUUAGAGAGGGAGAAGAAAAAUUAAGAACAGCCAGAUUUUUAAGGCAACAUUGCUAGUAGGAAUGGAGUCAAGAAAAUCAUGAGCUAUGUCUUCUUAUGCCUGGUUAAAUAUACUGGAUACCUAUUGCUCAGUUAUUUUUCAUUUUGCAGUUUAUUGUUUUUUUUCUAUAAUUCGCUUACUUUUGCCUAAUGCUUAUUUAUUACUCUAUUUUCCACUACUGUAAAAAAAUCUGAUGUAUACUAACUUUCUAAAGGAAGGAGGUUUAUUUAGUUCCCUGUACUGGAGUGUAAGUCUGGGAUUGUGUGUUUUCAUUGGUUUGCCUCUCCUGAGGAGCUAUGGGGCAGCACAACAGAGAACAGGGAGGAGGAAGAGAUCACAUCUCAAAACACUAAGUCCGGGAGACUCAAACCUUCUGCUUGGUCUUUGGUAGUUUUAGGUCAAAAGGGCUUAAGAGUCCCAUUAGAACUACUUUAAAGUCCUCUGAAGGAAAUGACCUUCAACUGUGUCCCUCCUCUCAACAGUUCACACUACCUCCCAAUGUGACCAUGCUGAUAAGAGCUUCUAAUGUAAACUCUUGGAGCAUAAAACACAUCCAAAUCUAUAGUAUCCACUAUCAAUACAAGGAAAAAGAUGAAGGAAAGGCCUGACUUUUGUAUCUAGUCACAGACACUGCCAGAAGGCAGCAACACAACAUGAAGCUCAUUCCAACUGAAACACAACAAAGGAGAUACCACAGGUGUGCUGGUAUACAACGAAAAUUCUAACUCUCAAGUGGCUCAGGCAGGAGAAUCAAAAGUUCAACACCAUCCUGACCCUGUGUCAAAAAUGCUGUUUUCCUUCUGGAAAUAAAAUUCUGUAUAUACAAGCAGAGCCAUUUUUAAAAAUCAGAUUUAUUGCUCUUACAUUUUACUGCCUUGAGUCUCAAUAAAAAAAAAUUGUAUUUGCUUUCUUUAUAUACAAAUAUAAUUUAAAUAAAUAAUCUCAGAAAAUAAAUCAACUCAGCAUAUCCCAGAGUUUUAAG